UCCAAGAUGGGGUUGAUGUUACGAGAGUUACAGUGAGGAUACCAAACUUGUUCAAAAUACGACCGACGUUAUUCUAUGGUUGCAAGGUGAAAUUCCUAAAGGAUCACGUCUCGGUGUCCCAUACGUUGCUGGAAGGGACAAGGUAGCUGCAUGUGCAAAGCACUUUGUGGCAGACGGUGGGACGACUCGCGGCAUAGAUGAAAAUAACACCGUGGCCAAUCAGCAUGAAUUGCUAAGUAUCCAGGGUGUAUCAACAGUCAUGGUGUCGUAUUCCAGCUGGAACGGUUAAAGAAUGCAUGCCAAUCGCGAUCUUAUUACUGGAUACCUCAAGGACAAGCUUAAUUUCAAGGGUUUUGUUAUCUAAGAUUGGGAGGGAAUUGACCGAAUUACUUUGCCUCCUCAUUCCAACUACACUUAGGCCACCCGGGGUGGUCCGUGAUGGAGGUGCCAUCACUCGUUAUUUCAUCACUCAACACCGCCGCCACCCCUUUCUAUCACUCGUGGAAGUAUAACGAGUGAUGGUGGUAACGCGUUGAACUUUGAGGAUGAUAGGGCUCCCGUUGUCAAGAAGUUUCCCGGCUAAACUUUCAUUCACUUGUUUCACAUGCUUCUUUGGGUUGAUCCAGUUCAUAGUCGUAGCGGCAGUUUUUGAGAGGGACCCCGUCUAAUGAAAAAUCAUGCCCGGGGAAGAAAGUUUCACCAUAUUAUACGCCGGUAUCAUUUCAUCUGGCGUUUUCCUAUGGCUUCAAACAUGGUGCAUUCAGAAAGGUGGGCCUGUUUUUGUUGCUAUGUUCCAGCCUGUGCAGACUGUUCGUGUUGCUAUUAUGGUGUUUGCGAUUCUUCAUGAUCAGUUGUACUUGGGUUAUGUGAUAUUUUGAUUUGGCUGUUUUUGUUAUGAGAAUCAUUAUUGGAUGCUUGUUAUGAUUUUAAAAUUUC